rnacentral:rRNA from 1 species
GAUGAACGCUGGCGGCGUGCCUAAUACAUGCAAGUCGAGCGAACAGACGAGGAGCUUGCUCCUCUGACGUUAGCGGCGGACGGGUGAGUAACACAUGGAUAACCUACCUAUAAGACUGGGAUAACUUCGGGAAACCGGAGCUAAUACCGGAUAACAUGUUGAACCGCAUGGUUCAACAGUGAAAGACGGUUUUGCUGUCACUUAUAGAUGGAUCCGCGCCGCAUUAGCUAGUUGGUAAGGUAACGGCUUACCAAGGCAACGAUGCGUAGCCGACCUGAGAGGGUGAUCGGCCACACUGGAACUGAGACACGGUCCAGACUCCUACGGGAGGCAGCAGUAGGGAAUCUUCCGCAAUGGGCGAAAGCCUGACGGAGCAACGCCGCGUGAGUGAAGAAGGUCUUCGGAUCGUAAAACUCUGUUAUUAGGGAAGAACAAAUGUGUAAGUAACUAUGCACGUCUUGACGGUACCUAAUCAGAAAGCCACGGCUAACUACGUG